GGCAGUUACACACCUAGCAAGCAAACCAGACUCUGCAGAGACAUAACAUCUGACAGAGCAGGAAGAUGAUUUGCUGAAAAUCAUUUGUGUGCUGCUGGCAGAAUGUGUUCAUACGGCUCCCUGCGUCCAGUGUGUGUGUCCUGCACUUCGCUGCCAGGACAGCUCCGGAGGCCGCUAGAGGAAAGGAAG